rnacentral:rRNA from 1 species
UGACGGGGGCCCGCACAAGCGGUGGAGCAUGUGGUUUAAUGCGAAGAACCUUACCAGGUCUUGACCGUGCUAUCCUUAGAGAUAAGGAGCUCCUUCGGGACCGGGAUACAGGUGGUGCAUGGUUGUCGUCACUCGUGUCGUGAGAUGUUGGGAGCGCAACCCUUAUUACUAGUUGCCAUCAUUAAGUUGGGCACUCUAGUGAGACUGCCGGUGAUAAACCGGAGGAAGGUGGGGAUGACGUCAAAUCAUCAUGCCCCUUAUGACCUGGGCUACACACGUGCUACAAUGGAUGGUACAACGAGUCGCCAACCCGCGAGGGUGCGCUAAUCUCUUAAAACCAUUCUCAGUUCGGAUUGCAGGCUGCAACUCGCCUGCAUGAAGUCGGAAUCGCUAGUAAUCGCGGAUCAGCACGCCGCGGUGAAUACGUUCCCGGGCCUUGUACACACCGCCCGUCACACCACGGAAGUUGGGAGUACCCAAAGUAGGUUGCCUAACCGCAAGGAGGGCGCUUCCUAAGGUAAGACCGAUGACUGGGGGAAGUCGUAACAAGGUAGCCGUA